rnacentral:rRNA from 1 species
ACUAGUUGUCGGGUUUUAAUUAACUUGGUAACGCAGCUAACGCGUGAAGUAGACCGCCUGGGGAGUACGGUCGCAAGAUUAAAACUCAAAGGAAUUGACGGGGACCCGCACAAGCGGUGGAUGAUGUGGAUUAAUUCGAUGCAACGCGAAAAACCUUACCUACCCUUGACAUGUCAGGAAUCCUGGAGAGAUCUGGGAGUGCCCGAAAGGGAACCUGAACACAGGUGCUGCAUGGCUGUCGUCAGCUCGUGUCGUGAGAUGUUGGGUUAAGUCCCGCAACGAGCGCAACCCUUGUCAUUAGUUGCUACGCAAGAGCACUCUAAUGAGACUGCCGGUGACAAACCGGAGGAAGGUGGGGAUGACGUCAAGUCCUCAUGGCCCUUAUGGGUAGGGCUUCACACGUCAUACAAUGGUACAUACAGAGGGCCGCCAACCCGCGAGGGGGAGCUAAUCCCAGAAAGUGUAUCGUAGUCCGGAUCGUAGUCUGCAACUCGACUACGUGAAGUUGGAAUCGCUAGUAAUCGCGGAUCAGCAUGUCGCGGUGAAUACGUUCCCGGGUCUUGUACACACCGCCCGUCACACCAUGGGAGCGGGUUUUACCAGAAGUAGGUAGCUUAACCGCAAGGAGGGCGCUUACCACGGUAGGAUUCGUGACUGGGGUGAAGUCGUAACAAGGUAGCCGUAUCGGAAGGUGC